UCGAAACCUGCAAAGCAGACCCGCGAACGUGUGUUUAUUCAAUCCUCGGCGCGGGUGGACGAAAGUCCCCCCGAGUCGAGGCACCCUCGCUCGGGCGACGCGACGCGUGCGUCGUUUGAGCUAACGAACCCCGGCGCGGCAUGCGCCAAGGAAAACAAAAAAAGAAGCGUCGACCCUCGUCGCCCCGUUCGCGGGUGUCGGCGGGGGAAACACGACCUCUCUUGAAUGUCAAAACGACUCUCGGCAACGGAUAUCUCGGCUCUCGCAUCGAUGAAGAACGUAGCGAAAUGCGAUACUUGGUGUGAAUUGCAGAAUCCCGUGAACCAUCGAGUCUUUGAACGCAAGUUGCGCCCGAAGCCACUAGGCCGAGGGCACGUCUGCCUGGGCGUCACGCAUCGCGUCGCCCCCACCCAAUCCGUCCUGGCGGUGUUGGGACGGGGGCGGACACUGGCCUCCCGUGCGCCCCUGUGUGCGUGCGGCCGGCCCAAAUGCGAUCCCGCGUCGACGGAUGUCGCGACAAGUGGUGGUUGAACCUUCAACUCGCGUGCUGUCGUGCAUGGCUCCGUCGUUCGCUCGGGCAUCGUUUCGAMCCAAACGGCGCCUCAGUGCGCCUCCGAC
rnacentral:rRNA from 1 species